rnacentral:rRNA from 1 species
AGCGAACGCUGGCGGCAGGCUUAACACAUGCAAGUCGAACGGGCACUUCGGUGUCAGUGGCAGACGGGUGAGUAACACGUGGGAACGUACCUUUUGGUUCGGAACAACACAGGGAAACUUGUGCUAAUACCGGAUAAGCCCUUACGGGGAAAGAUUUAUCGCCGGAAGAUCGGCCCGCGUCUGAUUAGCUAGUUGGUGAGGUAAUGGCUAACCAAGGCGACGAUCAGUAGCUGGACUGAGAGGAUGAUCAGCCACAUUGGGACUGAGACACGGCCCAAACUCCUACGGGGGGCAGCAGUGGGGAAUAUUAGACAAUGGGCGCAAGCCUGAGCCAGCCAUGCCGCGUGAGUGAUGAAGGCCCUAGGGUUGUAAAGCUCUUUUGUGCGGGAAGAUAAUGACGGUACCGCAAGAAUAAGCCCCGGCUAACUUCGUGCCAGCCGCCGCCGUAA